UUAGAAUUGUCUGUUUAAUUUAUGCAGUCCUCUUGGUUGGGCUUCUGGAGACUUGCAUUGCAAGAAGUGAAAUUUUGUACGAAGAUAACCUGUCUAGAGCUGGAGGUCUUCGUGAUGCUUUCUCUCUAGAAAAACGCAGUGCUGUAUUUUCUAACAGAGAAAAACGUCUUGUUCGAAGACCUAAGUAUCGCGUAACCACUACAAGAAGCCCUUGCUAUGGAAUACGUAAUUGUCGAGUUAUCAAAGCUGGAAAUGUGGCAGGCUGAAACUUUACAGGGUUAUUUCAACACCGACAGAUUUAAAUAUAUCCUAACAUUCCUCUGUUAAAAUAAACAGUAAAACUAAA
rnacentral:lncRNA from 1 species